ACGGUGAAGGUAGGCGUGAGAUUCAUAACUUUACCUUGCUUACAAAUCAACAUGUUGUUCAUUUCCUUAUUUACAAAAUUUCAUUUGAACAUGUUUGAAUGAUAGCUACGUGAUCUGUAAGUUGUACUUCGUUUCCUAUUUGUGGCUACAGCUGUUUUACAAUUUUAGUGCUUACUGUAUUCAGGUUAAAUCUGGCAACCAGCCAGAAAUCACAUGCGUUAAGAGCUGGCCAUCUAAUUGCCAGGACAGGUUGUUGUCCAAUGGCACACUUGACACUUGGUUUAUAGCUUUUGUUUGCUGUUCCAAAUAAAGCAAACACGUUUUUAAGGUAAAUAAUAUGAGCUGAUAACAAUCAUAUCUAUGUAAUAGUGAAAAUAUGUCAUAAACGUUAAUUAACAUUUAAGGGGCACCUAAUAAGUAGGCUUUACAUCUGGACUAUUUCUUUUUUAACAAGAGAUGACCCUUUGGUUUAAGCUUAUUCUGCAUAAUGCGUUGCUUUUCGGCCUGGGCCUGCAUUUUAAGGCGCUCGUGACGUUGCUU